CCUACGGGAGGCAGCAGUGGGGAAUAUUGGGCAAUGGGCGCAAGCCUGACCCAGCAACGCCGCGUGAAGGAAGAAGGCUUUCGGGUUGUAAACUUCUUUUAGGGGGGAAGAGCAGAAGACGGUACCCCUUGAAUAAGCCACGGCUAACUACGUGCCAGCAGCCGCGGUAAUACGUAGGUGGCAAGCGUUGUCCGGAUUUACUGGGUGUAAAGGGCGUGCAGCCGGAGAGACAAGUCAGAUGUGAAAUCCACGGGCUCAACCCGUGAACUGCAUUUGAAACUGUUUCGCUUGAGUGUCGGAGAGGUAAGCGGAAUUCCUGGUGUAGCGGUGAAAUGCGUAGAUAUAAGACAGAACACCAGUGGCGAAGGCGGAUUACUGGACGAUAACUGACGGUGAGGCGCGAAAGCGUGGGGAGCAAACAGGAUUAGAUACCCGUGUAGUC
rnacentral:rRNA from 1 species